rnacentral:rRNA from 1 species
UACAGAGGUCCCAAGCGUUGUUCGGAAUUACUGGGCGUAAAGCGCGUGUAGGCUGUUCGGAAAGUCGGGUGUGAAAGCCCUGGGCUCAACCUAGGAAGUGCACUCGAAACUCCCGAACUGGAGUCCCGGAGAGGAAGGUGGAAUUCUCGGUGUAGAGGUGAAAUUCGUAGAUAUCGAGAGGAACAUCGGUGGCGAAGGCGGCCUUCUGGACGGUGACUGACGCUGAGACGCGAAAGCGUGGGGAGCAAACAGG